GCACCCCGCUGACGAGCGGCGGACGGGUGAGUAAUGCUUAGGAAUCUGCCCAGUAGUGGGGGACAACAGUCGGAAACGGCUGCUAAUACCGCAUACGCCCUACGGGGGAAAGCAGGGGAUCUUCGGACCUUGCGCUAUUGGAUGAGCCUAAGUCGGAUUAGCUAGUUGGUGGGGUAAAGGCCUACCAAGGCGACGAUCCGUAGCUGGUCUGAGAGGAUGAUCAGCCACAUCGGGACUGAGACACGGCCCGAACUCCUACGGGAGGCAGCAGUGGGGAAUAUUGGACAAUGGGGGCAACCCUGAUCCAGCCAUGCCGCGUGUGUGAAGAAGGCUUUCGGGUUGUAAAGCACUUUCAGCGAGGAGGAAGGCCUUAAAGUUAAUACCUUUAAGGAUUGACGUUACUCGCAGAAGAAGCACCGGCUAACUCCGUGCCAGCAGCCGCGGUAAUACGGAGGGUGCAAGCGUUAAUCGGAAUUACUGGGCGUAAAGCGCGCGUAGGUGGUUUGGUAAGCGAGAUGUGAAAGCCCCGGGCUUAACCUGGGAACGGCAUUUCGAACUGUCAGACUAGAGUGUGGUAGAGGGUAGUGGAAUUUCCUGUGUAGCGGUGAAAUGCGUAGAUAUAGGAAGGAACACCAGUGGCGAAGGCGGCUACCUGGACCAACACUGACACUGAGGUGCGAAAGCGUGGGGAGCAAACU
rnacentral:rRNA from 1 species